rnacentral:rRNA from 1 species
CACGUAGGGUGCAAGCGUUGUCCGGAAUCAUUGGGCGUAAAGAGCUCGUAGGCGGCUUAGUAAGUCGGGUGUGAAACCUCCAGGCUCAACCUGGAGACGCCACCCGAUACUGCUAUAGCUAGAGUCCAGUAGGGGAGUGCGGAAUUCCCGGUGUAGCGGUGAAAUGCGCAGAUAUCGGGAGGAACACCAGCGGCGAAGGCGGCACUCUGGGCUGGUACUGACGCUCAGGAGCGAAAGCGUGGGGAGCAAACAGG